CCUACGGGAGGCAGCAGUGAGGAAUAUUGGUCAAUGGACGAGAGUCUGAACCAGCCAAGUAGCGUGAAGGAUGACUGACCUAUGGGUUGUAAACUUUUUUUAUAUGGGACUAAAAUGUUCCACGUGUGGGAUUUUGUCUGUACAAUAUGAAUAAGGAUCGCUCAACUCCGUGCCAGCAGCCGGGGUAAUCCGGCGGGUCCGAGAGUUAUCCGGAUUUAUUGGGUUUCAAGGGAGCGUAGGUGGAUUGUUAAGUCUGGUGUGAAAGUCUGCGGCUCAACCGUACAAUUGCAGUUGAAACUGGCAGUCUUGAGUACAGUAGAGGUGGGCGGAAUUCGUGGUGUAGCGGUGAAAUGCUUAGAUAUCACGAAGAACUCCGAUGGCGAAGGCAGCUCACUGGACUGCAACUGACACUGAGGCUCGAAAGUGUGGGGAUCAAACAGGAUUAGAUACCCUAGUAGUC
rnacentral:rRNA from 1 species